UAAAAAAUUUACAGCCCAAUCAAUAGUAGAAAUUUCAUCUUCAUCGUUACUCGUGUCUAUUUUCUCUGGUCAACUUUAUAGUUACAGACACAACAUUUAUAAUUCUGGCGGGAAGGCAAAAAGAAACCUUAUAGACCAAGACUUAAUGUACCUUUUAUCCGAGGAUAUAAAAGACAGUCUUAUACACGCUAUUUCUAAAUCAUUUAAUAGUCUUAAGGU
rnacentral:lncRNA from 1 species